CACCUAACAGCUAGCCCCACCCCCAAACACAAAACACAACUAUUAAUACCCCCUAAUACACUUAGCUAAACAAAACAAAUCAUUUUUCCCCCCGAGUAUAGGCGAUAGAAAAG
rnacentral:rRNA from 1 species